ensembl:lincRNA
AUUUUAUACCUGCACAUUCACAGAAGAGACAAAUUCCACACAAAAUAGAGACACACAGAGAGACAGAAGAAAAUCAACUGAGACUCAGCAUCUUGGAAAGGAAGAAAACUAAUAUUCCAGCAAGAAGUGCAGAACUCUGCUUGGUCUCUUGCCAGAGAAUAGAAGUCUGUUUAACUUACGUUGCUGAUAACUGGAAAGUCCAAGAUGGAGGAAGUGCAUCUGAAAGACCAUUUAUUAUGACAUGUAUUAUGAUAUGGUAGAAAGAAUCAUAUGGAAUUGGUAUAUACUGCAACCUAGCCAACAUUUGAAGAUGUCUUGUCCUCAUCUCAUAUGCCCCCUAGCAGUGAUAUUAUGAACAAGAACUUUUUCCUUAUAACCAAGUCCAGAGACAUGAACUGAAGAAAUUCUGAAGCACCAGUGCUCUCUAAUGACUUCUAGGCAAUUCCAUUAUUUGCAUUGGUCAUUUUGUAACCAUUUCUGUUACAUCUUCCUGCUUAAUCCAAGAGAAGAUACCUUUGGAGAGGGAAGCAUGGACCUCAGUAUGGAUCAGUGAUACACUGGGUCUGUAGGGGAGAAAUGUAAAACAAAAGUUCCUUAAGUUAAAUCCAUGUGAAAACUGAAAACCACAAUUAUAUUUGGAUAUGUGUCAUAUCCACCUCAUCAAAUGCUGUGUAAUACCAAUGGAAGAUAUCACCCAGACAUCUAUAAUUUUAUCCAAAAAUGACACUAUAAGUGGAACUAAUGGCCCAGGAUACAGAUACAGUUAUCCAGUACCAACUCAUAGACAGAAAACUAAUGAUUUCCUUAACUCUCCCCGACAUAAAUAAUAAUAUCCUGGUGACUAUUAUCUAAAUAAAAAAGUUACAGUAGAAAAUCACUAAAAAUAGAUUAUUUUUCUCAUACAAUAUAUCCUGAUUAUAGUUUCUCCUCCCUCUACUCCUCUCAGUCCCUUGCCACCUCUCCUUCCCCCACAUAUAACCCCUUUCUGUCUCUUACUAGAAAAUAACAUGUUUCUGAGAGAUAACAACCAAACAUGACAAAAUAAAAUACAAUAUGAUGAAGCAAAAAUUGUUAUAUUGAAAUUGGGCAUGGCUACCUAACAUGAGAAGAAAAGUACCAAGAGUAGGUACAAGCAUCAGAGAAUACUCAUUAUUAUGGACAGGAGUACCAUAAAAAUACUAAUCUAAUAGCUAUAAUAUAUAUGCAGAGAAUCUGGUACAGGCCCAUAUAGGCCUGUGCUUUCUGCUUCAGUCUCUGUGACCUCAUAUGUGCCUUGCUUAGUUGGUCUAACUGACAUUGCAGAAAAGCUUUGUUUGACAGUGGGAGAUAGUCAAAUUAGGGAAUCAUAACUUACUAAGGUUCUGAAAAUGAAUUAUUGUUAAGUGCUUGGCUCCAAAAGAUACAUGUAUGACAUACCCUCUGCAACCCAUGGAACAUAGCAGAAGAGAGGAUCGAUGAUGGACAGUGGGAACCAAAGGACAUAUUGAGGUGUUGUCAUCCGGAUAUGACAUGUCUAUUGUAAUCAAGAGCACACAGCCACUGCAACUGUCUGCAUGGGCCCUGAAUAAAAAACUGUGGUGAGGGGUAUAGAUAUGUAAGAGUAAGAGGGUUAUUAUUUGGGAAAAUGAAGGAGAUUGACAGGAAUAGGGAAAAACGGUCAAGAGAGGAUAAUUAAGUAUGAGUGUUAUCAAAUCACUUUUUUUUUUACUUUUCUUUUUUUUUAUUAGAUAUUUUCUUUACUUACAUUUUGAUGUUAUCCCCUUUCCUGGUUUUCCCUCUAAAAACCCCCUAUCCCCUCCCCUCUCUGCCUGCCCACCAACCCACCCACUCCGGCUUCCUGUCCCUGGUAUUCCUCUAUACUGGGGUAUAGAACAGUCACAGGAUCAAGGGUCUCUCCUCCCAUUGAUGACUGACUAGACCAUUCUCUGUUACAUAUACAGCUAGAACCAUGAGUCCCAUGAUGUGUUUUCUUUGGUUGAUGGAUUAGUCCCAGGGAGCUCUGGGGAUACUGGCUAGUUCAUAUUGUUGUUCCUCCUAGGGGGCUGCAAAUCCCAUCAGGUCUUUGGGUACUUUCUCUAGCUCCUUCACUGGAGACCCAGUACUCUGCUCAAUGGAUGGCUGUGAGCAUCCACUGCUGUGUUUGUCAAGCACCGGCAGACCCUCUCAGGAGGCAGCUAUAUCAGGAUCCUGUCAACAAGCACUUGUUGUCAUCCACAAUAGUGUCUGGGUUUGAUGGUUGUUUAUGGGAUGGAGCCCGAGAUCCUGGAUAACCAUUCCUUCCGUCUCUGCUCCACACUUUGUCCCAAUAACUCCUCCCAUGGGUAUCUUGCUCCCUCUUCUAAGAAGGAUUGAAGUGUCCACACUUUGGUCUUCCUUCUUUUUGAGUUUCAUGUGUUUUGCGAAUUGUAUCUUGGGUAUUCUGAGCUUCUGGGCUAAUAUCCACUUAUCAAUGAGUGCAUAUCAUGUGUGUUCUUUUGUGACUGGGCAACCUCACUCAGGAUGCUAUCCUCCAGAUCCAUCCAUUUGCCUAAGAAUUUCAUAAAUUCAUUGUUUCUAAUAGCUGAGUACUAUUCCAUUGUGCAAAUGUACUACAUUUUCUGUAUCUAUUCCUCUGUUGAGGGACAUCUGGGUUCUUUCCAGCUCCUGGCUAUUAUAAAUACAGAGUUAAACAAAGAAUUCUCAACUGAAGAAUACCGAAUAGCUGAGAAGCACCCAAAGAAGUGUUAAAUAUCCUUGGUCAUCAGGGAAAUGCAAAUCAAAAGAACCCUGAGAUUCCACCUCACACCAGUCAGAAUAGCUAAGAUCAAAAACUCAGGUGACAGAAGAUGAUGACAAGAAUGUAGAGAAAGAAGAACAUUCCUCCAUUGCUCAUGGGAUUGCAAGCUGGUAAAAUCACUCUGGAAAUCAGUUUGGCAGUUCCUCGGAAAAUUGGACAUAGUACUUCUGGAGGAUCCAGCAAUACCACUCCUGAGAAUAUACCUAGAAAAUGCUCCAACAUGUAAUAAGGACACAUUCUCCAAUAUGUUCAAAUCACAUUUUAAACAAGCAUGAUACUGUCAAAAUAUAUAUUAAUAUACGUUUUAGUCUGAAAGUGAAGAGAAAGAGCAACAUUCAGGGAAGAAAAGCGAACACCAUUGAAAAUGAAUAUGGAUUUCUCUGAGAGUUGUGGAAAUGAGACAUAUCCUAAUGUGGAUGUGGGUUCUCUAGAGAAGAGUUACAACUAUUCUAAUAUUAGUAACAUUCUUAAUUUUGGCAGUUUUCAUUACAGCCCAAAACACUGCUAAGAAACUUGGGGUGUUUUUUUUCUUCUUUCUCCAUUUGACAAGUGAGGUGACUCUGGUGGAGGUCCCUUGGAUAGAAUUAUAAUGUGAUAAAGUAAAAACAGAAGCCACUGGAGUUGCACAAGAGCUUUGGUACAUGUUAAUUUCCUGUAAAUGAAGGUUCUCAUUAGAGUCCUAUUAAAUUGCAGGGCUUAAAGUGGGAAAGGGAGAAAGGCCUUAAGCAGUUUUUGGUUGUGCAAACAGCGUUCUUGUCUUUCUGCUGGCAUGAGGUUUCAGUAGGAUCCCGGGGUGAGGCAAUCUUCUCCGUUCUCAUCUCUUCCCCAAUUUUUCUUGUUUUCUAUCCUUUCUCUAUAGUAACAAAAAUUAGAAAAAUAAAAAAGACCAACCCCCCCAAAAAAACCCCAAAACAAAACAAAACGAAACAACCCACUGUAUAUGCAGAAAGACAGACACCUAAGCUAAUUCAAGAACAGAGGACUUCCCCCCAGUCCAAAAAAAGAGCACACAUCUCUAGUAAGCUGCUUGCUUACAGAGGUGAAAAGGGAGUAUUUUGAGAAAAGUCAAUCUCUUUAACAAAUUGUUCUCUUGCCCUGCAAAAAAGUUAAACUUAAAAGAGAUCAGAUAUCUUAACUAAAGAUCCCGACUUUGAAACUAGUAGAAGAAAAAAUAGAAAUACUCAAGGAGGCUAUUUGUCAACCAUUAGUGGAAAAUGAAUAACUAAUAUAUGUAAGUAACUAAAAAUCUUAACAUUGAAACAACAAUUCACAGAAAAAGAGUCAAAUUUGUUCAACACACAUUACUAAAGAAAUGGGCAGAGAGUACAGGAAAAAACUUUCAAAAUAUUAUUAAUCAUUAAAGAAAUGCACGAGGAAACUGAAUUGAAAAUCAUUCUAUUUUCAGUCAGAAUGGCAAAUAAGAAAAAGAAAAAAGACAAUCC